UGGCGGACGGGUGAGUAAUGUCUAGGAAACUGCCCGAUGGAGGGGGAUAACUACUGGAAACGGUAGCUAAUACCGCAUAACGUCGCAAGACCAAAGAGGGGGACCUUAGGGCCUCUUGCCAUCGGAUGUGCCCAGAUGGGAUUAGCUAGUAGGUGGGGUAAUGGCUCACCUAGGCGACGAUCCCUAGCUGGUCUGAGAGGAUGACCAGCCACACUGGAACUGAGACACGGUCCAG
rnacentral:rRNA from 1 species